rnacentral:lncRNA from 1 species
CAGUGGUGGUGGGAUGGCGCAUGCUAAGGAAAAGAGAGGGUGUGAGGAGGGGGCAGAUGGGGGGUGUAGGGAGGGGGAGCAGAGGAGGUGAGAGGAGGGGAAGGGGUGCAGAGGGAGGGCUGUGGGCAGUCUACAGAAAGGAGCUGUACAUGUUUGGGGGCGAGUAGGAAGUCAGCUCUGGCUGCUGCUUCUGGAGAGCAUGGCUGAAACCGAGACCAGUACAGAGGCAAAGAGUGGUGCUCUUGGAACACCUAGAUCCAGCCAUGCCUGAAGGCCCAGUAGUGAGCUUUUUUUGGAGGUGCUAGGGCAAGGUGGUGGCAAGAAUUUCACUUGUCAAUUCAACCAGGCCUGCAGAAGCAGCCAGGCCCUGAUAACCAGCUCCUAGGAGGUUGGGGAAGGACCGAAGACUGCCCCAGUGUUACAGACCCCACCCUGGAAGGAGGCUGUCUAAGCGUUUCUCACUCCCACUCUCCUGGUCCUUCCCCUCCUCCCCUUCCCAGGGCAAGAAGCCAGGUACAGUCCCCAAGUCUGGCUGGGCCAAGGACCUCUCCCCCGCUGAGAGGAGGGGAGGGACUGCCCCUUGGGAGGGGGUCCUCUACCAACUGUGGGUGAGAGCCCACAGGGUUUUCUGGAAGAGAUGGGCCUGAGAAAGAAGGGAGUCAUGCAGGGAAUGAGGUGGGGGGGCGGUGGUGACAGCGCUAGACCCAGGCCCCUCAUUUGGGCACCUGCAGAAGGGGUGGGGUCCUUAGGCCUCGCCCCACCUCAUCUGCCCUCACUGGGUUCCUGGCAAGGUUGGCCUAGGGCCCCUGCUCCUGCAGCACGGAGUUGGGGCUCGCGUCCCUCCUCUGGAUGCAGCUUUUUCACCUACUGGGCCUCAGUUUGUUCGUCUCUAAAGUGAAGACAGUAGUAACACCCCCGCUCCCAACUCCAGGGUGGCUGAGAGGUUAACCAAGGCAGGUGUGAAGCCCACUUAUUCAGAGUGUGGUUUCCAUCUUCACUUCCCUGGGGAGGGGCGGAAACCUGGCUGGCGCCCUGGGUUUAGAGCCCAGAGGGCCCAUUACUAAGCUGAUUGCCCGAGAGGCAGCUGUGUGCCUGCCUCCCAGGUCUGUGGGAGUGGAGGACCUCUCCAUUCCCCUAGAACACCCCAGUGAAGCUACCAAAAUGUUAUUAAAAAGCAUGGGCAUGCAACUGUGUGUGAAAACACUGGUCAAGUCUGAGAAAGAAAUGGGAAGUUUUUGUGCCAAUCUACGGAUUAUAAUCUAGGAGGCAGCUUCUCAAAGGGCUCUGAGGAUGUCUCAGAGAUGAGCGGAGGGGCAGCAUAAGUGAUCUUUUAAAAAAUUAUCUAUUUUUGGUGGCACUGAGUUUUUGUUGAUGCCCGUGGGCUGGUCUUUUCUUUAGGGUGGCUUCUCAUCUCGGAGCAUGGGCUUUAGUAGUUGCGGCUCAAUGGCUUUAGAGCACAGGCUCAGUAUUUGUGGUCAAC